UCGAAAUAGCAUGGCGAGCUGUCGCUGGCCCCCCUAGGGGGUCGUGCACGCUCGUCGUUCUUCAUUUCUCCAUCUUACUUGUGCACCUCUUGUGUCCUUUGCGGACGAUGGGGGGACUGCUUUGCAAUGCCUUUUGCAGGCUUUCCUUGUGAUCCUAUAUUUACUCCAGUGUAGAGAAGGAACGAUAUGAAAUAUUAUUAUA
rnacentral:misc_RNA from 1 species